AUGCUGCUGCUGCUUUCUCGCCUGCAGCCUCUGGGGACGAGCAAGGAGCAGAGUAAGGCGUUUCCCAUCCAAUGCACCAGCCCAGAGGAGGGGGAGAGCACGCAGGGGAGGGAGCUGCCGGGUGACAGGCGGUCACAGGUGCUGCUGUUGCCUCUGAGUCACGGGAGAGGCGUCUCUGCGCCCCAACCAGCUGCUGCUCCCCCUCCCCCUCCUCAAGGCUGCUGCGGCUGCCAGCCCAGACAGAGCCAACUCCUCACAGGCGGCCUUGCUUGCAGGAGGAGCAGCCACCGAGCCGCGCAGCCGGGGGAAGGAGCAGACGCCCUGGGAAGCCUGUUUUCUCAGGUUUUGGAAGUAAUAGAGUACUUGGUCACUAACUCCUCACCUGAAGGACGGUUGUAUGCUUCAACUUGGAAAGCUCUACGUUGAGGUUCUUCAGCUCUCUUAAUUCCCAGAUUCUCUUUCCCAGAAGAAAUGGACCCUGGUUGUGAGAGGCAUCCAAAUCAAUAAUGUGACAACGAUAACAUUGAAAGUCUGCUGGAGAAGAAUCGCUAAUUCUUAUCAGAAGUGGUUUUUUUGUUUUGUUUUUUAUCCCUUAUAAAACAGACCAGACCA
rnacentral:lncRNA from 1 species